CCUCUCGACGAAGAAGAAUUGAUCGCAUACAUGCUACGCGGGCUUGGAAGCGAGUACGACUCCCUGGUAACCAGCAUCACGACCCACACUGACUCCUACACGCUCAGCGACGUCUAUGCCCACAUUCUGAGCUACGAGA